rnacentral:rRNA from 1 species
UACGAAGGGGGCUAGCGUUGCUCGGAAUUACUGGGCGUAAAGGGCGCGUAGGCGGUCCGUUUAGUUAGAGGUGAAAGCCCAGGGCUCAACCCUGGAAUUGCCUUUAAUACUGGCGGCCUUGAGUAUGGCAGGGGUGUGUGGAACUCCGAGUGUAGAGGUGAAAUUCGUAGAUAUUCGGAAGAACACCAGUGGCGAAGGCGACACACUGGGCCAUUACUGACGCUGAGGCGCGAAAGCGUGGGGAGCAAACAGG